GAGGGUAGAGCUCAAGUGGUAAGAGCGCAUGCUUAGCGUGCAUGAGGUCCUGGGUUCAAUCCCCAGUACCUCCU
rfam:Camelus ferus unplaced genomic scaffold scaffold204, whole genome shotgun sequence.